AUGGUCACUUCGGCAGCACAUGUACUAAAAUUGGACCGAUAAAGAGAUUUGCACAGCCCCUGUGCAAGGAUGACACACAAAUCUGUGAAAUGUUCCAUAUUUCU